rnacentral:rRNA from 1 species
AGACUCGAUGAUGCAUUGGCAUAAUAGCCAGUGCAGUGUCGCAGGGAAGCCGUUAAGUCUGCCGCCUGGGAAGUACGUACGCAAGUAUGAAACUUAAAGGAAUUGGCGGGGGAGCACCACAAGGGGUGAAGCCUGCGGUUCAAUUGGAGUCAACGCCAGAAAUCUUACCCGGAGAGACAGCAGAAUGAAGGUCAAGCUGAAGACUUUACCAGACAAGCUGAGAGGUGGUGCAUGGCCGUCGCCAGCUCGUGCCGUGAGAUGUCCUGUUAAGUCAGGUAACGAGCGAGAUCCCUGCCACUAGUUGCUAUCAUUAUUCUCAGGAAUAGUGGGGCGAAUUAGUGGGACUGCCGUUGUUAAAACGGAGGAAGGAAGGGGCUACGGCAGGUCAGUAUGCCCCGAAACUCUGGGGCCACACGCUGGCUGCAAUGGUAGCGACAAUGAGCUCCAAACUCGAAAGAGAGUGGCAAUCUCUAAACGCUACCACAGUUAUGACUGAGGGCUGUAACUCGCCCUCACGAAUAUGGAAUCCCUAGUAACCGCGUGUCAUUACCGCGCGGUGAAUACGUCCCUGCUCCUUGCACACACCGCCCGUCGUUUCAUCGAAGUUUGCUUUUAGCGAGGUGAUGUUUAAUUGGCAUUAUCGAACUUGAGGUAAGCGACGAGGGAAAAGUCGUAACAAGGUGACCGUAGGGGAACCUGCGGUCG